rnacentral:rRNA from 1 species
UCCUACGGGGGGCAGCAGUGAGGAAUAUUGGUCAAUGGUCGGGAGACUGAACCAGCCAAGCCGCGUGAGGGAUGAAGGUACAGAGUAUCGUAAACCUCUUUUGUCAGGGAACAAAGGCGGGGACGUGUCCCCGGAUGAGUGUACCUGAAGAAAAAGCAUCGGCUAACUCCGUGCCAGCAGCCGCGGUAAUACGGAGGAUGCGAGCGUUAUCCGGAUUUAUUGGGUUUAAAGGGUGCGCAGGCGGUCUGUUGAGUCAGCGGUCAAAACCCGGGGCUCAACCCCGGCCCGCCGUUGAAACUGGCAGG